UACGGAGGGGACUAGCGUUGUUCGGAAUUACUGGGCGUAAAGCGCACGUAGGCGGAUUUGUAAGUCAGGGGUGAAAUCCCGAGGCUCAACCUCGGAACUGCCUUUGAUACUGCAAAUCUCGAGUCCGGAAGAGGUGAGUGGAAUUCCUAGUGUAGAGGUGAAAUUCGUAGAUAUUCGGAAGAACACCAGUGGCGAAGGCGACUCACUGGACAUGUAUUGACGCUGAGGUGCGAAAGCGUGGGGAGCAAACAGG
rnacentral:rRNA from 1 species